CAAACCUUAAUCUCAAAAACCCUACACUCUCCCUCUCUUCCCUUCACGUUCUCCGACACCGCGCCUCUUUGAUUUCCUUUUGAACAAUGUCGACCGCGUCACUGGACGAGGAAACCGCAAAGAAAGUCGUACGACAGGUGGAGUUCUAUUUCAGUGAUAGCAACCUUCCCAGAGACAAUUUUCUCAGGAAAACCGUCACCGAAAGCGAAGAUGGCAUGGUUAGUUUGGCUUUGAUUUGCUCUUUUAAUCGGAUGCGAACCCAUCUUAAUCUGGGGGAUGUUAAGCUGGACGGGGUGACCAAAGAUACUGUUAAAGCUGUUGCUCAAGCUUUGAAAAAUUCGGCUUUGGUCAGAGUCUCUGAAGAUGGGACCAAAGUUGGCAGGGCAACUGAACUUCUGAAGCCAGAAGAGGUAAUUGAGCAGGUAGAGAUAAGAACAAUUGCUGCAUUGCCAUUUGAAUAUGAUGUGAAGCUUGAAGAUGUGGAGACAUUCUUUGCUCAAUAUGCCAAGGUUAAUAGUGUUCGGUUGCCUCGCCAUGUUGGAGACAAAAAGUUCUUUUGUGGCACUGCCCUUGUUGAGUUCUCAUCAGAUGAAGAAACGGAAAAAGUUUUGAAGCAAAGUCUGGUCUAUGCAGGGGCUGAGCUACAAUUAAAGCUAAAGAAGGACUUUGAUGCACAAAGAGAAAAGGAAUUAGAAGAGCAAGAAAAAUUCCGGCCACCUUUGGGUUCAGGUCACCAGAAUAACACAAAUACAGAAGCAAACUACCCUAAAGGCUUACUUAUAGCCUUCAAACUAAAGAGCAUUUCUGAUCAAGUUCCUUUGGAUCAAAAUAACAUUGAUCAGCAAGCCAAUGACAGUAAUGUUGUGAAGGAUAAUGCUGACAAUGAUAAAGAAAACAAUGGAGUGAGUGAAGGAAAAGACACAGAAGGUGAAGAAAAGAGCAAAGAAACUGAUGGAAAAAAUUAUGCUGCUGCUUACAAGGACAACAAUGAUGUUGUCUCACGUGAGGAUUUAAAGGGUGUCUUUGAGAAGUUUGGUACUGUGAAGUACAUUGAUUUCAAGAUUGGAGAAGAGUCAGGAUACAUUCAAUUUGAAGAACCUGAAGCUGCUCAGAAAGCUCGUGCUGCUGCAGUUCUUUCUGAAAAGGAGGGCUUAGUUGUGAAAAAUUAUAUUGCUACUCUAGAUCCAGUAACUGGUGAGGCUGAGAGAGAAUACUGGACCCUGCUUCGUGGUAAUCAGGGAAAGAUCCGAGGAUGCACAAAUAACCGAGGAAGAACGAAGAAAUGGAUGGAGAUAUAUAUAAUGAAGAUACAAAUGAUGAAGAUAUAGAUGACGAGGAAACAAAUGAAGAAUUUUAUGAAGCCACAUACACAUAUGUGAUGACAAUUUAUGCUUUAAUAGAUAUAUUAAAUCAGUUUUUGAAUAUGAUGCGUGGUGAACAUAUUGAACGUCCAUUAACUCGACCACAAAUUACUAGUCGGGGAUAUGACUAUAUACACAAAGCAUUAAACGAUGAUCCUGCAAUCUUUCGACAAGUAUAUAGGAUGUAUCCUGAUGUAUUUCGAAAGUUGUGCACGAUUAUAAGAGAAAAAACACCUUUGGAGGAUACAAGAUUUAUUUGUGUUGAAGAAAUGCUUGCAUCAUUCCUACAGAUUGUCGGCCAGAACACUCGAUAUUGUGUAAUCCGCAAUACAUUUGGCCGAUCACAAUUUGCUACAAGUGAAAAUUUUCACAAGAUUUUGAAAGCUCUGAACUCAUUAGCACCUGAUUUAAUGGUUAGACCAGGCUCAACUGUGCCUGCAAAAAUAAGGGAAAGCACAAGGUUUUAUCCUUAUUUUAAGGAUUGCAUUGGAGCUAUUGAUGGUACACAUAUUCCCGCAUCAGUAAAAGGACGAGAUGUAAGCAAUUAUCGUGAUUGUCAUGGAAAUAUAUCACAAAAUGUAUUAGCUGCUUGUAACUUUGAUUUGAAAUUCAUGUACGUUCUUAGCGGGUGGGAGGGUUCAGCAUAUGAUUCCAAGGUGUUAAGUGAUGCUUUGGCAAGGAAGAAUGGACUUAAAGUGCCCUAAGGUAAUUAUUAUCUGGUGGAUUGUGGAUUUCCUAAUCGACGCAAAUUUUUAGCCCCAUAUUGAGGUGUACGAUAUCAUCUACAAGAUUUUGCAGGUCACGGUAAUGACCCUGAAAAUGAAAAGGAAUUAUUUAAUCUUCGGCAUGCAUCCUUAAGGAAUGUGAUUGAGAGGAUAUUUGGUAUUUUUAAAUCGCGGUUCACAAUUUUUAAGUCAGCACCUCCAUUUCUAUUUAAAACACAAGCAGAGCUUGUGUUGGCAUGUGCAGCACUUCAUAAUUUUCUUCGCAAAGAAUGUCGUUCUGAUGAAUUUCCAGUGGAACCUACUGACGAGUCUUCAUCUUCAUCUUCAGUGUUACCAAAUUACGAAGACAAUGAUCAUGAACCCAUUGUUCAAACGCAAGAGCAGGAACGAGAAGAUGCUAAUAUAUGGAGGACUAAUAUAGGUUCAGAUAUGUGGAGAAAUGCUAAUAAUUAGGCGAACAUGAAGUGAGAAUCACUUUGUUAUUAUUUUUUUAGGCAAUAAUGACUUUGUUAUUAAAAGGUUUAAAAUUUCUAUCGUUUUUAUUUUCUUUAUUCAAACAUUAUAAUUUAUUUAUCAUCUUUUUCAUUCACUUUUGUAACUUCCGUUAUUAUUUUGUUUAAUCUUUCAAAAUCUUAAAAAUUCAUAAAGUACUUUGAAAUCUUAAAAAUCUGUGUUAGAAAUCUAUUAAAAUCUUGGGUUAAGAAUCCUGAUUGUAAAAAUUUUUUUUAAAAAAAUCUUUUAAAAUCCCACAAAAUCAAUAUAAUCCCACAU